CUUUAAUAUUUUUAUUAGUAAUAUUGCACGGACUUGAUGGUAAGGUAUGUCUUUUUGCUGAUGAUACUAAGAUAUGUAACAGGGUUGAUGUUCCAGGAGGGAUAAGCCAAAUGGCAAAUGAUUAAGGUAAACUAGAAAAAUGGUCAGAGUUGUGAAAACUGACAUUUAAUGUGGAUAAGUGCAAGAUAAUGCAUCUUGGACGUAAAAACCGAAGGGCAGAG